rnacentral:lncRNA from 1 species
UAUUAUUAAAAUGGCUUUAUGUGAGAUGAUUUUUUAAAAGAUUUUAUUUAUUUAUUUGCCAGAGAGAGAGAAAGAGCACAAGCAGGGCUAGCAGCACGCAGAGGGAGGAACAUGCUCCCCGCUCCUGAGCAAGGAGCCUGAUGUGGGACUCAAUUCCAGGACCUUGGGAUCAUGACCUGAGCCAAAGGCAGAUGCUUGACGGACUGAGCCACCCAGAUGAUUUUGCCCAGUGCAGGCUAAUAACCGAGAAGACCCUUAAGGCAUUGGAUCAAACUGCUGACAGUGAGCUCUUCCUUGUUGCAAGAAAUAAGUCAUCUCUUCUUCCUUAUUGCAAGAAGUGUGGAUUUCAUUCAAACCCUCUGUGUGCCUUCCAGGACUGUUGGGUAAGACAGUUUAGAGUUAACUAUAUUUGGAAAUACAGAUAUAACUAUAAAUAUAACUGUAUUUGG